rnacentral:rRNA from 1 species
UUACGGCCAUAUCGCGUUGAAACAUCGGUUCCUGUACGAUCACUGAAGUUAAGUAACGUCGAGCCUGGUCAGUACCUAGAUAGGUGACCGCUUCGGAAUAUCAGGC